rnacentral:rRNA from 1 species
CCCUACGGGGGGCAGCAGUGAGGAAUAUUGGUCAAUGGGCGAGAGCCUGAACCAGCCAAGUCGCGUGAGGGAUGACUGCCCUAUGGGUUGUAAACCUCUUUUGUAUGGGGGGAAUAAGCUUUACGAGUAGAGUGAUGACAGUACCAUACGAAUAAGCAUCGGCUAACUCCGUGCCAGCAGCCGCGGUAAUACGGAGGAUGCGAGCGUUAUCCGGAUUUAUUGGGUGUAAAGGGUGCGUAGACGGGAAAACAAGUUAGUUGUGAAAUCCCUCGGCUUAACUGAGGAACUGCAACUAAAACUAUUUU